UCUUUUUUUGGUUUUUUUUAUAAGGAAGAGAGAGGGUUUCAGAUAUUGAAUCACACAAGGAAGUUCG
rnacentral:sRNA from 1 species